GCUUCCUGCCAUGAUGAUAAUGGACUGAACCUCUGCAAUUUGACCUCAUCGAGGUGGUAACAGCUAUGUGACUUAGCUGCCAUCCUGAGUGAUGUCAUCAAGAUGGCAUAAACCAUGCCAUCUGACCUCCAUCUUGGUUAGUAACAUCAUCAAGAUGAAGAUGACCAAAUGACUUCACCACCCAUAAAACUUCCUGCCAAGGCUGAGUCCUCAGACAAUCACCUCCAUCCCUAGAACUUCCUGUGCCAUGUCCCCGUCCUCUUCCCCAUUUUUUUUUUCUUUUUUCUUUUUACCUUCCUGGAUGCCUAAUGGAAUCGUGGAAAUGGGAGACCUAGAGACGACUCCAGCAUGGACUCUCAUGGCCAAGGUCAAUGCAUUUUUUUUUUCGUCAGACUAGGGAGACAAUACCUUACCGCCACAGUGGGUUGUUUUGGUUGGGGUUUGCACGAUACAUUUGCUGGCUUUCAGAGGGCAUUUAAGGUUUCCCCAGCUAUGUGCCGCCAGCACUAGCCAGCUACAAAACGGAGCAGACACUGAAGGAACUAGACUUGGAAAGCACCUAUACAUUUACAGCAGCCCAGGGAGAACCAUGGAAAAGCACAGAUUCCAACUGGCACUGAAGGGUGAUUGCCAGAGCAACUGAAGGGUGAUUGCCAGAGCAUGGCUCCCACAGCUGGAGGCAAAGGGGAUUCAGCCUGCAGCAUGGGAGGCUGGAGAUGAGGAUGGACUGUGGUUUGUAUUAGGGCCUUCUCUUCCUGCCUGGCAUCUCCACGCUUAGUUUUCUCUGAUGAAGAUAGAGUUUUUACCCUUCGUGAGACCCCUUUACUCCGUGUUUAUUGUCUGCUUCUUCACAUCAAGUCCCGGGCACCUUGCUUCUGUUUUGACUUCCCACUUACAGUGACAUUGACAGGCUACAGAAGAAGACCAAUUGAUGACAUACAUCCCUUUCCAAGAAUUCCAGCCUCACAGCUUUAACGGAGCCUCCUUCGCUGAGUCAGCGGGAGGUUGCAAACAUCCCCGUGAAGAUGUUUUAUUGUGUUAUUUCUGCUUUCCUCAGCCUGCUCCUUGCCAAAGCACAUCAUUCCCUGGAUUGUGCAAAGCACAAAUAGAAAAUUUUUUGACUAUACUGUGUUUUAAGGUGGUAUUGCACCCUCUGAGCCUCUAAGCCAGUGGCUCUCAACUUUCCCAAUGCUGCAACCCUUUAAUAAAAAAAAAAACCCAGUUCCUCAUGUUGUGGUGAUCCCCCAACCAUAAAAUUAUUUUAUUUCUACUUCAUAACUGUAAUUUUGCUACUGUUAUGAUUCAUAAUGUAAAUAUUUUUGGAGAUAAAGGCUUGCCAAAGGAGUUGCAACCCACAGGUUGAGAACCACAGCUCUAAGCCAAACAAUUACUGACUUUAGAAUUCCAGCUGUGCCUGCUUAUGAAACAUCAUCACAGCUGGCCUUGUUGAUUAUUGAUAAAGAUUGCAAUGCCUGGGAUGUUUUUUUUUUCCAGAAUGGGUAAAAGUUGGAAAGUCUGAAGCAAGCCAUAAAGGUUUGAGCAAGUGGCAUAAAGGUAUAUAAAAGAUGAGGCUUUAUAUACGAUAUUAACACAUCUAAGGUCAAAGUUCAACAUAUUGCUGUCAAAACCCUGCUUAACUGUAUGUCAAAGCAAUGCUUAUUUUAAAGUGGUUGGAUUUUGCCCCAGCUUUAUCUUAAUAUCACACCAUGAAUAAAAGUACCAGGUUGCUGUAGUCAA